rnacentral:rRNA from 1 species
GACGAACGCUGGCGGCGUGCCUAAUACAUGCAAGUAGAACGCUGAAGGAGGAGCUUGCUCUUCUGGAUGAGUUGCGAACGGGUGAGUAACGCGUAGGUAACCUGCCUGGUAGCGGGGGAUAACUAUUGGAAACGAUAGCUAAUACCGCAUAACAGUAGAUGUUGCAUGACAUUUGCUUAAAAGGUGCAAUUGCACCACUACCAGAUGGACCUGCGUUGUAUUAGCUAGUUGGUGGGGUAACGGCUCACCAAGGCGACGAUACAUAGCCGACCUGAGAGGGGGAUCGGCCACACUGGGACUGAGACACGGCCCAGACUCCUACGGGAGGCAGCAGUAGGGAAUCUUCGGCAAUGGACGGAAGUCUGACCGAGCAACGCCGCGUGAGUGAAGAAGGUUUUCGGAUCGUAAAGCUCUGUUGUAAGGGAAGAACGAGUGUGAGAGUGGAAAGUUCACACUGUGACGGUAUCUGACCAGAAAGGGACGGCUAACUACGUG